UGGGGAAUUUUGGACAAUGGGCGAAAGCCUGAUCCAGCAAUGCCGCGUGUGUGAAGAAGGCCUUCGGGUUGUAAAGCACUUUUGUCCGGAAAGAAAUCCUUGGCUCUAAUACAGUCGGGGGAUGACGGUACCGGAAGAAUAAGCACCGGCUAACUACGUGCCAGCAGCCGCGGUAAUACGUAGGGUGCAAGCGUUAAUCGGAAUUACUGGGCGUAAAGCGUGCGCAGGCGGUUUGCUAAGACCGAUGUGAAAUCCCCGGGCUCAACCUGGGAACUGCAUUGGUGACUGGCAGGCUAGAGUAUGGCAGAGGGGGGUAGAAUUCCACGUGUAGCAGUGAAAUGCGUAGAGAUGUGGAGGAAUACCGAUGGCGAAGGCAGCCCCCUGGGCCAAUACUGACGCUCAUGCACGAAAGCGUGGGGAGCAAACAGGAUUAGAUACCCUGGUAGUCCACGCCCUAAAACGAUGUCAACUAGUUGUUGGGGAUUCAUUUCCUUAGUAACGUAGCUAACGCGUGAAGUUGACCGCCUGGGGAGUACGGUCGCAAGAUUAAAACUCAAAGGAAUUGACGGGGUCAUAGCUG
rnacentral:rRNA from 1 species